GCGGAGGAAAAGAAACCAACAGGGAUUGCCCUAGUAACGGCGAGUGAAGCGGCAACAGCUCAAAUUUGAAAUCUGGCUCUUUUAGAGUCCGAGUUGUAAUUUGCAGAGGGCGCUUUGGCGUUGGCAGCGGUCCAAGUUCCUUGGAACAGGACGUCACAGAGGGUGAGAAUCCCGUACGUGGUCGCUAACCUUCGCCGUGUAAAGCCCCUUCGACGAGUCGAGUUGUUUGGGAAUGCAGCUCUAAAUGGGAGGUAAAUUUCUUCUAAAGCUAAAUACUGGCCAGAGACCGAUAGCGCACAAGUAGAGUGAUCGAAAGAUGAAAAGCACUUUGGAAAGAGAGUCAAAUAGCACGUGAAAUUGUUGAAAGGGAAGCGCUUGCAGCCAGACUUGCCUGUAGUUGCUCAUCCGGGCUUUUGCCCGGUGCACUCUUCUGCGGGCAGGCCAGCAUCAGUUUGGGCGGUUGGAUAAAGGUCUCUGUCAUGUACCUCUCUUCGGGGAGGCCUUAUAGGGGAGACGUCAUGCAACCAGCCUGGACUGAGGUCCGCGCAUCUGCUAGGAUGCUGGCGUAAUGGCUGUAAGCGGCCCGUCUUGAAACACGGACCAAGGAGUCUAACAUCUAUGCGAGUGUUUGGGUGUCAAGCCCGAGCGCGUAAUGAAAGUGAACGGAGGUGGGAACCCUUUAGGGUGCACCAUCGACCGAUCCUGAUGUCUUCGGAUGGAUUUGAGUAAGAGCAUGGCUGUUGGGACCCGAAAGAUGGUGAACUAUGCUUGAAUAGGGUGAAGCCAGAGGAAACUCUGGUGGAGGCUCGCAGCGGUUCUGACGUGCAAAUCGAUCGUCAAAUUUGGGCAUAG
rnacentral:sRNA from 1 species